UACUAACCAACAAUCAAGACAUGAUGGAGCUGCAGCUCUGAGAGGAUUGGAAGGCAACUUUCUGACGUUUCAUCUUUGACAUCUAACCUCCAAACAACCACCAACCCAACAGCCUCUUCCCCUUUGCUGCCGUUUUCUCCUCUGCUUCUUGCUGGUUUUCCUCCUACCUCCCCACUGCGCUGCAUGUUUUUUCUUGUGUUUGUGUGUGUGUGUGUGUGGGGGGGGGGGGGGGUCUGAUUUAAUUCAGCUGCAACCCUGUUCCAGCUCACAUUAACGCAGUUUAAUAAAAGACUAUUCAAUUAGCCGGAGAGCUCCACGCCACAGCGCAAAAAAACCCAACAGAAAUUGAUGGAGAAACAAUUAAGCUCACUUGUAAUUUGUCGCAAACGAGCCGGGCGAGGCGCGUGCCAGCAGAUGUGUGCCGCUUUGAUCCGAACCUGCCCACGUGAGCUUCUAGUGUUCGCGUCGCCUAAAUUGGUCCUUCUUGAGUCUUCAGAGAAAAAGAAAAAAAAAAGCCUGACACCUACAUCAGGUGGAUGACAAACAACAGCCGGCAAACAGCAUGCAGGGCUGAACAAAGGAGACGGUGCAGAGCAGCAACAUUUGGCUCCGUGUCUGACUGUCAAACUCAUCAGCAGCAGCAGCAGCAGCUCUAAUGGAGGACAAACCAUGUGCUCCGAGAAAAGAAAAACUUGUACGUCAGCUGCAUGUGGAGCUCGGACUGACGGAACACGCCAGAACCUCCUCGGCACCGGCCGGAGCGUGUGCAGCGUGGACCGACCCGUGGAGUGAUCCACGGCAUCGUGGCAGGAGGGAGUCUAACGCCAAUCGAUGGAUGGACGCCAUCACUGCCAAACAUUCUCAUCGAGUUCCACUUGCCUGCUUAGAACAAACACUCAAGCAUCAAUAUUCAGGGAGCGUCAACUUUCAGCAACUUCUGCCCGGCAACCGGCCUUUUCCAAAGGUGGCCAACCAAGUUCAUGCAUAUGAGAGAAAGCGCAUUUCCAGCCAGUCUGAAGGUACGGAGUGCUGCUGUGAGCUGAAGCUCUGUUUUCUGACCUUCUGGGUUAUCUGGAAGGUUUCUCCACACCUUGCCGCUGGCAUAAAGCCCUGGUGUAACCAUGGAAACCCAGCAAAAAAAAAAAAAAAAAGAGGGAACAAUACUCGCCGGGUCCAGUGGGAUGCUCAUGUUUGAGCACCUGUAUGUGAUGAGUUCCUUACUUAUGUCAGCAGCACACCUAGUAAAAAAAAGGCUUAGAUGACACAGGAUUCAGUCUUCAUCUGUCCUCCACUUCAUUAGUUCCUCAUUCCCUCCAUCCGCCAUCCUCUUCUGCUUAAUGAAACCAUGAGCACGGCAGAAAAUCAAGCCCCUGGGCCUGCACGGCUUUGUCAGAAGGGUGCACGCGACCCCAUUUUCAGAGGAGGAAGCAUUAUUAGCUUGACAAGAGACAUCCGCCGCACCACAAACACACACACACAGAAAGACACACAACCUGCAGCCUCAUCACUGAAUCAUUGGAAUUUAUUUUCAAAGGCAGCAGGGGAGCGCUGCCUCAACUUGACAAUAAAUCAACACAUCGUGCACUUUACAGGGAGGAGUCAGGUCGAGGGGGGGUCAGUCAGAGACGGGGGCUGAUAAAUGGAUGGACGGAUGCAGAGGCAAAA